GGGAAUUUCAGUAUGUACAACAUAAAAUCGCUUCUUACAAAUUCUAACGUAAUUGAUUACUUCGUGUAAACAUUUCGAACUUGUAUCUGUAAGCAGAGCAUAUACCUGAAUAACGUACGUAACUAGUUUAUAAAUUACUUUCUACAUUUCGUAGAAUUGUAUUGAUCACAAUAGGGAAAUGGAAUAAUCGUGCGAGUCGCUUUGGCUUUCACAGAGAAAGGUGAGGUAGUCCUCUUCUCACAAGAAGAGGAGAUAAAGAAUAGAUAUCGAAAAAAAUCGUUCGGUUGGCUUUUCGGUGUAGAGCCACUCUUUAAUCACGACUCCCGGGCAAAUUAUGGACAGUUAAUUCGCUUGGCUUCUCCUCUCUUUUACGGUUAUUCUAUGCGGUCAUUUCCAUCUCCUCUCUCUGUAGCCAAAGGCGUUCCGCAGUCAAAUCGAGAACCAAUCAAUACCGAUAAUUAAUUAGAAAAAUCAGAAAGAAAAAACUUGCGAGAAACUCAAGAGUUGGAGAACCGGUGGAAAAACUGCCUGAGGCUUUCGUUUGACUCCAAAGUCCCUUCACCCCCUUCAUCAUCGGUAUCCUCUCUCUCCUCUCCGUUGAAACCACCACCACCACCCUCUCCGCCCCCCCUGCUCGAGACCCUAACGAAAGUCCUUGCUCAGUCGGCCUUCCUCGAGUCGGUGUUCCACUCUCUGUUCUUCCUCGUUUCACGGCCUCGUCUCUUAGGACAUUGCUGCUUCCUGGCCUUCGCGCCGCUCCUCGACUGCGCCCGUUCUAUUCAACCGCGAAAAUUCUGCAGGAAUUUUAAUAACUCGGAUUCGUACUGAUUAAAACGGAGGUCGCAUCCGACAUUUCACCGACCAGUCUCUGGUUACUAGUUGGCGGCGGGGCUACCAUAAAAGCUAUGUUAGAGAAUUAUAAGGUAUUCCUUUCAUUUCCUGAUCGUUGAACAGAAAAAGAGGGUGGAGCUCGAUUAUAAGUAACGAACGUGUGCACGUGAGUACGCAGAAGAUAGAGUUAAGUAUUAGGUACGAAAGAUAACCCAGU